rnacentral:rRNA from 1 species
AGAGUUUGAUCCUGGCUCAGGAUGAACGCUGGCGGCGUGCUUAACACAUGCAAGUCGAACGAACCUUCGGGUUAGUGGCGGACGGGUGAGUAACGCGUGAGAAUCUGCCCUCAGGAGGGGGAUAACGGUUGGAAACGACCGCUAAUACCCCAUAUGCCGAUAGGUGAAAUGAAUUUCGCCUGAGGAUGAGCUCGCGUCUGAUUAGCUUGUUGGUGAGGUAAUGGCUCACCAAGGCUUCGAUCAGUAGCUGGUCUGAGAGGAUGAUCAGCCACACUGGGACUGAGACACGGCCCAGACUCCUACGGGAGGCAGCAGUGGGGAAUUUUCCGCAAUGGGCGAAAGCCUGACGGAGCAACGCCGCGUGAGGGACGAAGGCCUCUGGGCUGUAAACCUCUUUUCUCAAGGAAGAAGAUAUGACGGUACUUGAGGAAUAAGCCACGGCUAAUUCCGUGCCAGCAGCCGCGGUAAUACGGGAGUGGCAAGCGUUAUCCGGAAUUAUUGGGCGUAAAGCGUCCGCAGGCGGCCUUUCAAGUCUGCUGUUAAAGCGUGGAGCUUAACUCCAUUAUGGCAGUGGAAACUGAUCGGCUUGAGUAUGGUAGGGGCAGAGGGAAUUCCCGGUGUAGCGGUGAAAUGCGUAGAUAUCGGGAAGAACACCAGUGGCGAAGGCGCUCUGCUGGGCCAUUACUGACGCUCAUGGACGAAAGCCAGGGGAGCGAAAGGGAUUAGAUACCCCUGUAGUCCUGGCCGUAAACGAUGAACACUAGGUGUCGGGGGAAUCGACCCCUUCGGUGUCGUAGCUAACGCGUUAAGUGUUCCGCCUGGGGAGUACGCACGCAAGUGUGAAACUCAAAGGAAUUGACGGGGGCCCGCACAAGCGGUGGAGUAUGUGGUUUAAUUCGAUGCAACGCGAAGAACCUUACCAGGGUUUGACAUCCUGAGAACCUCUUAGAAAUUAGAGGGUGCCUUCGGGAAUUCAGUGACAGGUGGUGCAUGGCUGUCGUCAGCUCGUGUCGUGAGAUGUUGGGUUAAGUCCCGCAACGAGCGCAACCCACGUUUUUAGUUGCCAGCAUUUAGUUGGGCACUCUAGAAAGACCGCCGGUGAUAAACCGGAGGAAGGUGUGGAUGACGUCAAGUCAUCAUGCCCCUUACACCCUGGGCUACACACGUACUACAAUGCUACGGACAAAGGGCAGCAAACUCGCGAGAGCUAGCAAAUCCCAUAAACCGUGGCUCAGUUCAGAUCGUAGGCUGCAACUCGCCUACGUGAAGUAGGAAUCGCUAGUAAUCGCAGGUCAGCAUACUGCGGUGAAUACGUUCCCGGGCCUUGUACACACCGCCCGUCACACCAUGGAAGUUGGCCAUGCCCGAAGUCGUUACUCCAACCCUUGUGGAGGAGGACGCCGAAGGUGGGGCUAAUGACUGGGGUGAAGUCGUAACAAGGUAUCCGUA